rnacentral:rRNA from 1 species
AAGAAAGAUGGCGGCGUGCUUAACACAUGCAAGUCGAACGGAAAGGCCCUGCUUUUGUGGGGUGCUCGAGUGGCGAACGGGUGAGUAACACGUGAGUAACCUGCCCUUGACUUUGGGAUAACUUCAGGAAACUGGGGCUAAUACCGGAUAGGAGCUCCUGCUGCAUGGUGGGGGUUGGAAAGUUUCGGCGGUUGGGGAUGGACUCGCGGCUUAUCAGCUUGUUGGUGGGGUAGUGGCUUACCAAGGCUUUGACGGGUAGCCGGCCUGAGAGGGUGACCGGCCACAUUGGGACUGAGAUACGGCCCAGACUCCUACGGGAGGCAGCAGUGGGGAAUAUUGCACAAUGGGCGGAAGCCUGAUGCAGCAACGCCGCGUGCGGGAUGACGGCCUUCGGGUUGUAAACCGCUUUCGCCUGUGACGAAGCGUGAGUGACGGUAAUGGGUAAAGAAGCACCGGCUAACUACGUG